CCCUUAGAUGUUCUGGGCCGCGCGCGCGCUACACUGAUGCAUUCAACAAGCCUAGCCUUGACCGAGAGGUCCGGGUAAUCUUUGAAACUGCAUCGUGAUGGGGCUAGAUUAUUGCAAUUAUUAAUCUUCAACGAGGAAUGCCUAGUAAGCGUGAUUCAUCAAAUCGCGUUGAUUACGUCCCUGCCCUUUGUACACACCGCCCGUCGCUCCUACCGAUUGAAUGUGUUGGUGAGGAGCUCGGAUUGGCAGCAGUUGGUGGUUCGCCACCGGCUAUUGCUGAGAAGUCCUCCAAACCGCCCCAUUUAGAGGAAGGAGAAGUCGUAACA
rnacentral:rRNA from 1 species